rnacentral:rRNA from 1 species
AGCUCCAAUAGCGUAUAUUAAAGUUGUUGCAGUUAAAAAGCUCGUAGUUGAAUUUCUGGUGGGAGUGUACAGUCCGACACUGAGUGUUGGUUCUUGUAUGUCUCCGGCCAUCCUUGGAGUGAAUCUGUCUGGCAUUCAGUUGUUGGGCAGAGUAUCUCCAUCGUUUACUGUGAGGAAAUGAAAGUGUUCAAAGCAGGCUUACGCCGUUGAAUCUUUUAGCAUGGAAUAAUAAGAUAGGAUCUUGAUACUAUUUUGUUGGUUUGCGUGUUAAGAUAAUGAUGAAUAGGGACAGUUGGGGGUAUUUGUAUUCCAUAGUCAGAGGUGAAAUUCUUGGAUUUAUGGAAGACAAACUAAUGCGAAAGCAUCUACCAAGGAUGUUUUCA